rnacentral:rRNA from 1 species
UCCAGACUCCUACGGGAGGCAGCAGUGGGGAAUAUUGCACAAUGGGGGGAACCCUGAUGCAGCGACGCCGCGUGGGUGAAGGAGCACCUCGGUGCGUAAAGCCCUAUCGGCAGGGAAGAAACAGACGGUACCUGACUAAGAAGCCCCAGCUAACUACGUGCCAGCAGCCGCGGUAAUACGUAGGGGGCAAGCGUUAUCCGGAUUCACUGGGUGUAAAGGGAGCGUAGACGGCGACGCAAGUCUGGAGUGAAAGCCCGGGGCCCAACCCCGGGACUGCUCUGGAAACUGCGCGGCUGGAGUGCAGGAGGGGCAGGCGGAAUUCCUGGUGUAGCGGUGAAAUGCGUAGAUAUCAGGAGGAACACCGGUGGCGAAGGCGGCCUGCUGGACUGCGACUGACGUUGAGGCCCGAAAGCGUGGGGAGCAAACAGGAUUAGAUACCCGAGUACUC